AAGUUGCGUUGUCAAAUUUCUCCGGCGUAGUGUGGACCUGACCUUACAGUAGGCACGUUUCCAAGUUAGGCAAGUUGCUAAGUUUGGUCGAUGGUUUUUGUUUUCUUUUCGCCUUCGAGGUAUUUACAAAUGUCUAUGCUAUUGAUACCAACAGGUGGGCGUAUGGCAUCGUACUUUGGGAGAUUUUAACAAUCGGUGGGACGCCAUAUCCUACCAUAAGUAAUCAUGAACUUUUGGGGGCUCUGAAAUCUGGAUACAGAAUGGAAAAACCACAGAUUUGCUCAGAUGAAAUGUAUGAAUUGAUGCGGCAGUGUUGGAAAGAGAAUCCCGCUGAGAGGCCUUCAUUCAAUGACAUCCGGGAACAACUGGAACGUAUGAUGUUACACCAUUGUCCUUAUUUGGAUAUGGCUGACGGAAACUAUAGUUACGCACCAUGUUAUGACACUGUCAGUGACGAAAAAGCGGAACUGGAAAGUACUUUGUAAAUUUGUAUGUAUGAUUUUUCGACGUGAUGACAUGUCCUAUAAUGUUAACCCUCAGAUCCAAGAGUAGAUUCAUAACUCGCCGUGAGGUGAGGGAGAUUUUUCUUUCUGGACAUAUCAAACUAUUCUGCGUUAAGUAACUCUCAUUUUCAAAUAGAAAUAACCCUCAACUUACGCCAUCUUGGAUCCGCCAUCUUAGAACGCACCAGCCUCGCAAGAGGUCAAGAACAUGAUAAUAGAGUGUAAAAAACAAGACGUCUGUAGCCAAUAUUUCUUCAUUUUAUUCCUGUAAAUCCUCAUUUCACUUUGAAUUUAUCUAUAUUUCUUUUCUUUUCUAAUUGCAAUGCUCUGUGGGAUCGUAAGCUCUUUUCUGGCUGGGGCUUCUGCAGGAGGCAUCAUCAGGUCCUGUGGGAUAACUUCCUGACCAAUAGAAAAAGUACGCCCAAACAUUCAUUUUAGUGAACUUGGUGAGCUGAAAAAGAAAAGUAAAAGAAGUAAGAUAGGUUAAGACAUUUAUUCCGGGGGGUACUCCCUAUAAUAGGGGUAUCGAAUGGUCCAAUUCAAUUUGAA